rnacentral:misc_RNA from 1 species
UCUUGAUUGUGAACAUAAAUAAUUUUCUUUCUUAUCACUUAACUCAGACAGAAGAACAAGGAAAAUAUUAUUUUUUAUUAAUAAUAAAUAUGGGAGUUGCAAAUAAGAUGUCUGAUAAAAAUCCAGAAAUGAGAGCAAACGCAGCAAGAAUAUGUCGUGAUUAUUUGACAGGUGUUUGGAAACAAGUUAAUGCUGAAAAUAUUGUUGUUAAUCACAUAAGUGGUGGACUUAGUAACUGGAUUUAUGAUGUACAAUUACCAGAAGGAAUUGCACCAGUUCGUGGUGAACCACGUCAAGUAUUAUUACGUAUUUAUGGACAAACACAUGGUGAAAGAGCAGUUGAAGGUAUUAUAACUGAAUCAGUUAUAUUUGCAUUAUUGUCUGAACGACAACUUGGACCAAAACUUCAUGGUGUAUUUCCUGGUGGUAGAAUUGAAGAAUAUAUACCAGCACGUCCUUUAUUAACAAAAGAACUUGCUGAUCCUGAAUUGAGUGUAUUAACAGCUGAAAAAAUGGCAGCAAUACAUCAAAUGCAAGUGCCAAUAAGUAAAGAACCAACUUGGCUUUGGAAUACAAUGAUCAAAUGGCUUGAUACUGCUCAAGAUGUACUUAAAAAUAUUGAUGAUAUUGAUCAACGACUUGUAGAUAAUAUUAAAGCAAUUAAAUCAGUAUCACUUGCUGAUGAAAUUGCAUGGUUCAAAAAUCUUGUAUCACAACAAAAAUAUCCAGUUGUUUUUUGUCACAAUGAUAUGCAAGAAGGAAAUAUUCUUCUUCGUCAAAAUUCAACAAAACGUGAACUUGUUAUUAUUGAUUUUGAAUAUUGUUCAUAUAAUUAUCGUGGCUUUGAUCUUGCUAAUCAUUUUGUCGAGUGGCAGUACGAUUACACAGCCAAGGAUUAUCCAUUUUAUCAUGAGAGAAAUAAUGCUGGACCUACUGAUGAACAAAAGGUAUGUUACACUUUGGGGACUGGGUUGGGUAAAAAAAGAAAAGCAAAGUAAAAACGAAAAAAAAAAAACAAUUAUGACUAGGGUAAGAUCGAAAUUCAUUCAUUAUUUGUUCACAUAGAAAAAACUAUUCGAAAUUUAUUAUUACCUAUAUUUUUUUUUUAUUUUUUUUUCUGCUUAUAUUUCGUUUCCCCCUGAGUAUAUUAUUUCGAUUAAAUAUAUUUAAAAAAUAAAAUAAAAAAAUAUCAAUGUCGUACACAAUCGGUAACAUAAUUUGAUUGAGAAAAAUAUAAAAAUUUUUAAACAAUUAAUUUGUCUUGAUAUUAUCAAAUGUAAAUAUUAAAAUUUUUCAUAAUUUUGUGUACAUAAUGAUUAAGUAUUUUAUUUUUUAAACAUAUAAAAAAAAAAAAGCAAAGUUAGUUGAGGGAAAAGUAGCCAAACGUUGGCGUGCGUUGCUCGUGUAUGUGUUAGUUUCACAGGAUCACAAAACACUGAGAGAAGGCUGAAGGCCUGUCAACAUAUUGUGGAGAAGCCAAAGACUAAUGUGAUGAUGAAGUGUCAUCAUUUUGCUGGAAUGACUAACAGUGGGAAUCUACGCAAGAGUCAAAGUGAAAGAGCUCAAUUGAGACCAACUGACUGUCUGAGAGCCCAACCAACAUUGGGCAUAUUGGAUCGUCAAACAUCUCUAUAUCAACAACAAUAGAGUACCGUCAAUACGCACUCUAUUUCAAUUAUUCAAUAUAAAUUAUAUCCGUGAAUUUAUCAUUGAUAAACAUCCUAGUUUUCAAUAUUGGCAAUUUUUUCUACUUAAAAAUACGAGGCACUCUAUUAACAAGGCUCCGUUUUAUCAGAAGCUACUUGAAGACAAUGGGAAAAGAGGGAACACUUGAAGA